AUUGAACGCUGGCGGCAUGCUUUACACAUGCAAGUCGAACGGUAACAGGCCUUCGGGUGCUGACGAGUGGCGAACGGGUGAGUAAUGCAUCGGAACGUACCCAGAGGUGGGGGAUAACGCAGCGAAAGCUGUGCUAAUACCGCAUGUGAUCUGAGGAUGAAAGCGGGGGACCGAGCAGCAAUGUUUGGCCUCGCGCCUUUGGAGCGGCCGAUGUCGGAUUAGCUAGUUGGUGGGGUAAAGGCCUACCAAGGCGACGAUCCGUAGCUGGUCUGAGAGGACGACCGGCACCACGGGAACUGAGACACGGCCCAGACUCCUACGGGGGGCCGAGGUGGGGAAUUUUGGACAAUGGGCGAAAGCCUGAUCAGAAAAUGCCGGGGGCGGAAAAAAGGCCUUCGGGUUGUAAACCGCUUUUGGCAGAAACAAAAGGGUGUCCGCUAAAACCGGGCGCUAAGAACGGAACCUGCAAAUAAGCACCGGCUAACUACGUG
rnacentral:rRNA from 1 species